rnacentral:rRNA from 1 species
GUGCCAGCAGCUGCGGUAAUACGGAGGGUGCAAGCGUUAAUCGGAAUUACUGGGCGUAAAGCGCACGCAGGCGGUUGAUUGAGUCAGAUGUGAAAUCCCCGGGCUUAACCCGGGAAUUGCAUCUGAUACUGGUCAGCUAGAGUCUUGUAGAGGGGGGUAGAAUUCCAUGUGUAGCGGUGAAAUGCGUAGAGAUGUGGAGGAAUACCGGUGGCGAAGGCGGCCCCCCUGGACAAAGACUGACGCUCAGGUGCGAAAGCGUGGGGAGCAAACAGGAUUAGAUACCCUGGUAGUCCACGCUGUAAACGAUGUCGACUUGGAGGUUGUGCCCUUGAGGCGUGGCUUCCGGAGCUAACGCGUUAAGUCGACCGCCUGGGGAGUACGGCCGCAAGGUUAAAACUCAAAUGAAUUGACGGGGGCCCGCGACAAGCGGUGGAGCAUGUGGUUUAAUUCGAUGCAACGCGAAGAACCUUACCUACUCUUGACAUCCAGAGAACUUAGCAGAGAUGCUUUGGUGCCUUCGGGAACU